rnacentral:rRNA from 1 species
GACGAACGCUGGCGGCGUGCCUAAUACAUGCAAGUCGAGCGGACAGAUGGGAGCUUGCUCCCUGAAGUCAGCGGCGGACGGGUGAGUAACACGUGGGCAACCUGCCUGUAAGACUGGGAUAACUUCGGGAAACCGGAGCUAAUACCGGAUACGUUCUUUCCUCGCAUGAGGAAAGAUGGAAAGAUGGUUUCGGCUAUCACUUACAGAUGGGCCCGCGGCGCAUUAGCUAGUUGGUGGGGUAAUGGCCCACCAAGGCGACGAUGCGUAGCCGACCUGAGAGGGUGAUCGGCCACACUGGGACUGAGACACGGCCCAGACUCCUACGGGAGGCAGCAGUAGGGAAUCUUCCGCAAUGGACGAAAGUCUGACGGAGCAACGCCGCGUGAGCGAAGAAGGCCUUCGGGUCGUAAAGCUCUGUUGUCAGGGAAGAACAAGUGCCAGAGUAACUGCUGGCACCUUGACGGUACCUGACCAGAAGGCCACGGCUAACUACGUGCCAGCCGCCGCGGUAAGAC